UGACAGUGACAAAAAGGAAGCAGCCUUCUCUAGCCCACCCAAGUUUCCAUCAAAGGAGCAAGCCUAUGUCAGUAAGAAGAAAGCUGGCUAACCCUCCCACCCCUUGUUUAACUCCUCCAGCCCAUCCCACAUCAUUGUAGAGUGAAGAGACUGCGGUUAAUAUUCAGAAAGAGGCGCAGAGAACUGAAGGCUUUCCUGACUUGACACCGAAUAAUAACGAAGGCCUGUGUGCUUUGCAGCAGCCUCCACGUCACCCUCUUCCAGGGCUCCGUCAGAGGACUAACGAUAUGCCACAAGAUGAUUGGCAGCAAGACACACCCAGUGAUGAAGGGAUGUGCUCUCCUUAAAUCACAGCCUAUUCAUCAGGUACUCCUGAGUGCUGUGUUAAGAAAUCCUGCCUACAAAGUUCCACUGAGGCUGAUAUAAAGAUGACUGUGAGAAACUGGCUGCGGCUGUCUGAGCAGAGACAGGAAUGGGGGCGGCAAAGGCGGGACAAGCAAGCAUCUUAAGUGAAAUAAUUGAUUGGACUGAUUCUGGAGUAUGACUUAUUCUGGAGGGAAUUUCUUAUUUUUGUUGCAGUUUGCUAUGGGACGGUUUCAAGGACAGGGAUUAGACUAGUUCUAGACUAAAAUAAAUGUAAGAGCUGUCCAAACUGAAAACAACUUGCACUGACAUCAUAAAAUACAUCAGUGUCUUUUGUGAUGCUUCAAAAUGCACACAAGUAAUGUUUUUAUUAAGACAUGUUAUUAAAACUAGUUAUAUUUCAGAAUUAAACUAAGGCCUAGUCCCGGUUUAAGAUAAUCCCUGUCCGGGAAACCACCCCAAAGUGUAAUUUGUGGAGUGUUAAAAUAAAUGAAACUGCCUUUGCAAAAACAAAGUAAAAAAAAUUUCCAGAU